ACCUCCCUUGUAAUCAUGGCCGCCUCCAUCAAACGAGAAAGAACUGGCUAUGAAGAAGGUUUUCUUGCUGGAUGUGAAUCUGGUAAGUCAGAAGGUUGUAUGUUAGGAAUCGAGAAGGGUGGAAACAUAGGUUCGGAGCUUGGCUUUUAUCAUGGCUAUGCAUUAGAGCUCAGACGAAUCUUAGAAAAAGAAGUAGGAUUGAGCAAACCCAGGACGAAGAAAACGAUGGAUUCUUUAAAUACAAUGAUCGAAAAUUUUGCAUUGGAAGAUGCUUUAAACCAGACAUUAUUUGAAGAGCUGGAAACCAUCAGGGCCAAAUUUAAACAGCUAACUACUCAACUAAAUGUAUCAGUACAAUAUGGAUCUGCUGAUACGGUUAAAGGGGCGUCAUUUUGAAACAACCUUUGAUGUGAUCAUUACUUGCCUAAGAAUACAAUGUCUCUACAGCUACACUGUGCAUAAACCGUACGCUGUACAUAAUGAUUAUUCCAGCAUUAUUUCAGUCCUUUUUAUUCUGUUUAUUCUUAUAAACGUUUUUCCAUGUCAAUAAUAUUAACGAAACCAUGGAUUAAGGAUGGUAAUCAAACCCUCUUCCGAUUUCUUUCGUGAAGGAUCAGUUCAAAAAGAAGAUAAUACUUGAUGAUAAUAGACAGCACAAAAUCCGGUAUAUAAGCUAUGCAAAAGAAUCCUUUAUUGAAGGUGACAAGCAACAUACCAUAUUCACUGGAUGAAUGUUAACAAGAUAGAUUUUCUACAUAAAAAUAAUUGUUUGUGUUAAUCCUGCAGACUAUACAAAUCGAUAUUUAAUUAAUUCAGAUUUUAAUUUUAGUUGUGAUAUGUCAGUGAUGUUUGGGUUAAAAUCCUUUUUCCCAAGCCAAUUAUAUUACAAAUGUUUUUAUAGUUGUAUUUUUCAAAUUGUGUAGAUAUUUAUAUAUCCUAUUGUAACUUGUUGGAGAAGAGAGAGGGAUAUUGAUUAACGCCCACUUAUGAUCUAAAGCAGACGCCUAAAGCUCUGUAUAAACUGCCAACAUUUUCGGUAACAUUUUCGGAAACAUCUCGGCAACACACCUGUGCAACAAAAAUUUAGCCCUGUAUACACACGGCAACAAUUCGACAACAUGUUGGGCAAAUUAACAACAAUUCCCUGCUGGUAGCUGCCAUGUUGUCUACAUCAUGUGAUUUAUGGCCCAUUUCUGAUUGGAUAAAACUCGGAACAUCAUUAGCAUCUGGGCAACGAAAUUCAUCUAGUAUAUUUUUCGACAACAUUUGGGCAACAUGUUGUCGAAUGUCACCGAAUGUUUCUGAACUGUAUAGACUAUCAACUUUUCAGCAACGUCGCAUCUGGUCAACAUGUUACCGAAAAUGUUGGCAGGGUGUACAGGGUUUUAAACCAUUCGACCACCCAACAGGAGGUAUUAAGAAAAUUGUAUUAAUUCUAUAUCCCAUAUUUUACAUUUUUGUACAUAAGUGUAAAUAAUUAAUUUCAUGGGCAUUAUUUUGUGCCAAUAUUAACAUUAAGAUGUUUUGUUUAAAAUAAAAAAUUCUGUAAUUUGUUGUUAAAUUUGAUAUCAUCUUCUGUUAUCGUCUUCAUUUAUGUUCGAAACCCAUGCACGGACAUCAUUUAUCUUUAUGGGCAAAUCAUAGCACUAUGAUUCGUAUGCUUAAUGACGCGUCAAUACAGUACUCUAUCAAUAUAUUAUUGUCCUCGUAAAUCUAUUUGUCAAUUCUGUAUAAACUUGCAAUAUCUCUAUUCUUUAUAUACCUGUUUUUACGAUUCUCGUAAUACUACAUUUUCUCAAACAGUUUUGGGGUUAUGGUGACUUUAUGUAAGACUAAAAAAUUGUUGGUAGAAAAUAAUGAAGCAUCUUGCAAUCAAAUUAUUCUUAAAUCUCGGGUCUUCAAAAUGCGCCAGUUUAAUUAAUAAUAUUAAGUUGUGAUGUAUAUCUGUAGUUUUCUAAGAACCUUACUUACAUUGGUGGUUAUCAGGAUUUCAUAGCGUCGAUCUUAAAUUGAACUACCGAUUAAACGAACGUGUCACGAAUUAGUCAAUAUUGUCGGCACGUGGGGUCGUCUGUUGCCAACAUGGGGCUAUGAAAUACAAUCAGCCACAAUACUCACGCCAGCUAGGCUGUAAAACAAUGUGUGACACCAUGGUAAACAUAGAUAUGACACCAUGGUAAACAUAGAUAUGACAGGUGCUUGAAAUAGGUAUGAAUAAUAGCACAGUGUUGGGCUAUAUCAUUGUUUAAUCACGUGUGUAAAAACGCUGGAUACCUUAGUUAAAUAAUCAACUAUGAAUUUCGUGUUGGAUUUAAAGUCCUUGUAUUAAUUUGGACAAUCCUCCACCUUCAGUAGUGAAGAUUCUGUAAAUCGUGUGGUUUCUCGGUUCAAAUAUGGAAUUGCCAGAAUUACAAUGGAGUGAUACUACAUCAGCACCGGCUACAAACAGAGUGUUCCGAUUUAGUGAUGCGAUCAACGAUGAUCGAGAGUUUUUUAAGGAGAAAACAUUUCAUACGUUACAGGAAGCUGACGAUAGCCGACAUGAGAAAUAUUCAUCGAGGAUGGCAACAACGUUCGUACCAAAGAUCCGCUUGACGCUCAAUGACUUUGGAUUAGAGUUUAAAGGAAGAUUCAACGAAUCCCUCAAUACCUAUGUGGAUACGCGGAAAAGAAUAAGACGUUUCCAUAGCUUGAAUAAUUUGAACAAAACAUUUUAUUGUGAAUUACCUACUCUGGACGAAGGUGGUUCUGAGAAAUGUCAGGAACCAAGGACACCAUUAUUACUUACGGGAAGGUCUGCUCUGAAAACCAGAGACUCUAAUCAUGAGGUGGAAUUGCCAAAUAUUGAUAGGCAAUUCUUACAAUCCUCUAAAUCUUCACUUUCAUAUCCUUUCAGACUCCACAAGUCGCUAGAUACAAGACCAAAACUAUUUGAGAAAAUGCCUCAAAGGUUUUCAAUAAAGCCAAUGAAUAUAUGGAAACACAAAACUGACAUUUUGCUGCAGAACAGUCCAAAGGGCCAUGGCUUCACACCUAGAAAGUUAAAAUUAAAAUCGUGAUUACCCUUUUAGUCAUAAUUACAAUUGCGUGUCAUUGACUUUUAGUGAUAAUAGACUAGUUUUGUUGCAAAUAGCUGCUUCAACCAAAUGUUAUUAUUUAAAGUGAGAGUACCAGAAUGAAGACAACCCUGUGGUUGGCACAGCUUGCAUAGAAUCAUGAGACAAUCAUUAGAAUUUGUACUGUGUUGCUUUUACCAACGUGGUUCUAAGAAAAUGUGCAACUUUAUACUGUUAAUGCCUGGUACCGAUAUACCAAAAGCAACAACAUUGUGCGAAUAUACUAUGCCAUCAUACAUAUAACACUGUGCCGCGGUUUGAUGCACGAAAUCUUUUUAUGGCUGCGAUAACAACAUUCAAAUAAGCUUGUAUAAUGUUAGCUGAUUUUGAAAAUAUUAAAAUGUGUCCAUAUUGUUUCCAACUUUCCCUGAAACCUUAACAUCAGAGGUAGUCUAUUAAACAAAUAACCCAUUCUUGUGCUUGCUAUAUAUAUAAAAAUAUAUGUAGGCCGGUGAGGCGGAGGCAUAUUCAUAUUACAAGUAUAUUAUAUGGUCUGCUCUUACAUUGAAUAUAAUAAGACACACCAUAGUCAAAACCUUCAGAAUCGUGUCUGUAUUUACACUUUUCACCAGAUUAUAGAUCGAUAAAAACAAUUCUCUAGAACUAAACAGAUAAGAUCAGUGGACCUUUCUACAACAAAACACGCAAUAAAAUAUUUACUGUUGUACCAGAUCUCAUUACGGUCAGUAUUAAAUAUGUACCACAUGGUGUAACACAACACAAGUUUAUCUAAUACAGUUAUACCCGUAUCAAACUUGUUUAUUUAUUGCAUGUUUAAAUAUUGAUAUAAUAUUUUUUAAUGUGUAUGUUAAAGAAAAUUGGAUAUAAAGCUAACUCCAUAACUGACAA